rnacentral:lncRNA from 1 species
AGAUAGACUAGAUAUAUAUAUAGAUAGACAGACAGAUAGAUAGAUACCAUAUAUUCCGGACUAUAAGUCACACUUUUUUUUUCAUGGUUUGGCUGGUCCUGCGACUUAUAGUCAGGUGCAACUUAUUUAUCAAACUUAAUUUGACAUGAACUAAGAGACAUGAACCAAGCUCUCUCGCCUUGGGCACGAAAUAACCUAGAGCCGGCCCUGCUUGGACAUAUUGCUGACGUAUUUUUGGUUUGCAUUGUAGCAUUGCUUCAGUGGGGACAGACUCCACCAGUGUUAUUCCAGAUGCUCAGAGGCUCAACACAUUCUCCAUGAGGAUUUCCCUCAUGUUGACUCAUCAAAUAACAUUCAACUGCCAUCAAGGUAAGAUCAAUCUCUGUUGAAGAUUUCUCUAGGAGGAAUUUGUGUUGGUGAAGUCCUGCAAUAGUGUUUCUGUUUUGGAUGCAGUUAAAAGGCUGAUAAGUAACCUCUGUUAUUCCAUUGUGUAUCUCUCUGUACUACAUUCACAAAUCCUGGUGACCAUAAAAGAGUCAAAAUUGGAAAUGAAUUGGGGGGCACGGACUAAUCUAUUUUUAAGGGACCAAAACAGUUCCCGUAAGUCAACUUGAACUCAAAAUACAAUGGCUGAUUUAGUGUUAAUUGAAGAGGAGGAAAUACAUAGGUAUGUUUUUAAUGAUUGUAAUAAUCCCUUGGAUAUGAUGAAUGGUUGAUGAAAGGCUGAAAAGUAUUAUUAUUAUUAUUAUAACCACUUAUGAAAACAAUAAUUGCCUUUUCGUCCUCUGUCCAGUUUGUUUUGUUAGUUUUUUUUUCUGUUAUGUUUGUACUCUCCAUAGCAAAAAUAUAUUAAUACAAUUGUGAUUUUAGUAAGGGUUUGGCUUUGUGGUUCGUUAUGUUCUGAUUACUGUUAGAGGUAGUAACUAUAGCAGCCGCGGUGAUCUUUGCAGUAUGUCGUCAGAAACUACUGUGAAACGCUUAGCAUAAACACUUAGUGUCAUGAUCCUGGUCUUUUCCCCUGUCUCUGUCUCCCUCUUGUGAUCACUUACUCACUCUAUCACGCACACUCCUCCGCUCAUUAUCACUUUCAGCUGUCUCCCCUUUCAUUCCCUCACCUGUCCCUCUUUUGCCCUUGAUUGUCUCUGCUUCUUAUUCUCUCUUUCUAGCCCUGUCUUAUUGUCGGAUUAUUCGAUCACCUUACAUGAGACACACCUGUUCCCAAGUC